rnacentral:lncRNA from 1 species
CUGGAAUCAUUAUCUUUAUAAAGAAGAUUUUAGAAACUGUCAAUUUUACAUCUGUAUUAAAUUUUAAAGAAUGCAUUCAUUUCCAAAGGAGUAGGUUCAGUAAGGCCCCUUUUUGGCCCCAAAAUAUAGCAGUUUUACAAAAUUGUUAAAAUGUAUAUACUUUUAGCUAUUCAUUUGAAAGUAGAAUGCUUCUGCUACAUAAAUAUUGGCUGUGUUUGACAAUACAAUGCACAUAUAUCGGGUACUAGCAUCAUUAAGUCAUGCUAAAUUACUGAAAUCUUCACAAUUUUAGCAUUUUAGUUAAAUUUUAGACGGUUUCCUUCUUAAAUGAAAGUGGCCGCAUUCUUGUUCAUUCUUAAUAUUGAAAUUUAAGUUGUAUUUUAUGAUAAUACAUAAUAUAUAUAAAGGUUGUGGAUGAAC